AAAAAAAAAAAAAACUGUAAAAGAGGAUUUGGUAACAUUGAUCUUCAGGGCAUCCAACUAUAUAAUGGACUAGUAUAGAAAACCCAGAUCGACUCGUACAAAAAUGUGAAUUCAUAAGAGUAGUCUUUUUUUCGAAAAAUUCAAACUAAUGCUUAGCGCGAGAAUAAUGAUUGUCGUUAGGAUUUCUCUUCCCGCUGAAAACAGCUAGUGCCUUGCGAACAGGGGGCUGCAGAGGAGCCUUCUUACUAGUAUGGUUGAGAAAAAUAGUGUCCGGAGUAAAUAUGUUGUCAUCUCCCUUGUUCUUCUUCUUUGUUUUAGGAUAAAGAUACUUCUGCGGAAGCUGGUCCUCGCGUAACACUGGGUUCUUGGUAACAGCACCUCUACCCCCUUGAGGUAAAGGCAGGGAGAACUUUGUCCCUCGCAAGGAUAUACGUGGUCUGCGUGCUGCAAUCACAAUACCAUUUUCGCCAACAGUCACUGCUACCUUGCGUAAAGUGCCCCCAUUUCCACAAUUGGGACAGAAAAUCUUAGUAACAUCUGUUGUCACUUUAUAGCAGGCAUGGCAUUUCAGUACCCACCUGUGCAGCUCACGGAUCUGCAUUCCUCCAGGUGCCACAAGGCGUAAACCCAUUUGAAGAAUAACAUUUUGCAUUGCAUAAUCAGCUGUCACACAGGCCACACUUGAUUCGGACAAAGAUUUUAACAUCCAACUUUGUUCACUGCUGUUAUCAUCCACAAACGAUGUCUCAACGCUCUCAUCCAUCUGGCUGGACAUCUCCGCAUAUUCCGCUCCUACAUCUGCACAGACGAAAUCCUCCCCUUCAUCUUCUUCAAAUUCUUUACCGUCUUGAUUAGCAUCAUUUGAUUCAGGCCCCUCAUUGGAAAUGUUUACAUCUGCGUCAUCUUGAAGAGCUUUAGCAGAAUCUUCUUCAAGCCGCAUCUGAGACAAAAUCGUAGACAAUUUUUCUUCACCUUCUCUUACUUCAGAAACAUUACCAUCCUCGGCAUUAGCCUCAGGAUUUUCUUCAGGGAUUUGGUGCAUAGAGAUAUCAUCGCAUUGACAGUUCUCGAGGUUUUCAUCGACUGUAUUUUCAGUUGCAUCUUGUAAAUCAUCCACUUUAGAUGAUGUUUCAGACAUUUCACGUCUAGCUUUUCGCCUGAGAAAUCUCCUAUGAGUACUUCUGCUCACAGCAGGUAGCCAAUCAUCACCAUGAUCGUCAUAUUGUCCCUGUGAUGCAUCAAUUCCAUCAGCAACCAUCUUCUUACCAUCAAUCUUCACCUCUUUUUUCUGUGGCAAGUACUUUUGAGGUUUACUGAAGCCAUCAUCGAAAUCCAUCUGAUUCUCAGAAUGAGAAUCACCACCAUUCACGACAGAACCAUCUCUACCACUUUGUUGAUCAAGAGGAAUAACAUUCAAGCUCAAAUCUUUCAAGGGAAGAAUUCUAGAGGUAGUGUCUGCUCCUUCAUCAAGUGCAUGUUCUAUUGCUUCCCAUUCUUCCGGAUUAGAGAUGUUAGCGCCCCAUCCAGGCAAGUCCUUCUCCGGCAACCUUUUUACAUUAAUCAUGUGAAUAGCUGGAGGGCAAUCUCGGAGCUGUUGAGUUCCAUGAAAUUGAGCGUGCAAUGUGUAAGUUAAAGCAAUGAGCUUGAGAUCCACAUCAGAAAGUGUGUGCAAAUCACCAGUACUCCUUGCAAAGCUGAUAACUUUUUUAAGAGAAUCAGGGGAAGGCUCCGUGGUAUCAAUAGUGAACGGAAGUAAAUUGAGUGAAUGACGGGAGUUCCGGUCACGAAUCUCCGCAAGCACUUCAGGUACAGUAACAAACCGAUCAGCCGAAUGAUUCAGCUUAUCUCCGCCUUGAAUUAUAGCGUUUGCAUCUACCACAGCCACUGCUAUCCCCUUCGUCGACUUACAGCUCCCUACCAUAACUCCAUUACCUACCUUCGCCGCCGUUUCUGCAGCUACGGCGGCAGUGACGGUGGCCGGAGUAGUAGUAAUUUGCGGUGGUGGCCGUGGCGGCGGUUGUUGCUUCACUAUGUUGCUCCAACAUGGUGGCGGAGGAGGGGGUUGGGUAUCCAUGG
rnacentral:misc_RNA from 1 species